ACUGCAACUUGCAUUUAGGCACCUAUGUUAGUAAAUGAGCCCUAGUACCAAUUUAACCCCCUAGGUACCAAAUGGAAUCCCAGCCUGAGUGUUAGUAAGCGUGAGAUUUCGGGGGAACACUUUGAAUGGGGCCCCUCAUGCAAUGUUGCACGUUAAAAUGGUAAAUGCAUUAUCCAUGAAGCUGACUUGCCCUUUUUAUUCCCGUCUCUAUACAGAUUGCUGCGGUGUGCGACUAGUUGGCGUUUUGCUGCUUCGGCGCUUAACCAGUUUUUUUAGACUGUGAUUUUUCUGGCUUCUCCUCAGUUCACCUUUUCCAUCUUUAGUUGAACGAGCCUAGAGGAGAGCCAGCACCUACUGAGGGGGUCCCUUAGGGACUCCGGCCCUGGGCCGGCCCCUCCAUUCCAUCUUUUUUUUUUUUAACAUCACCUGGAGAGCUUCAUUUAAGAGCGAGCGAUGAACAAAGUGUUCAAGCGUUUGAGGCGUUUUUUCCCUUGCUUCGGCAAGGAGGAGCCCACUGAGGAGCCCCAGGAAUUUAUCUGCCUGGUACCAUCGGUUGGAUCUGGCAACGCCGUUUGCCAAGAGGAGAAACCAGAGCACAAAAUGGAGCCGGCUAUAGACAACUGCCGGGAGACUCCAGAGAUCCCUGACACGGACAUCUGUC